rnacentral:lncRNA from 1 species
AGAAAGGACAGUCACAAAGAAAAGGAAAGGCAAUGUCUGGCGUUUCAGAAACAUCACAAAGAGCACAGAGAAGGACGGUCUUUGUCUAGAGGUAACUGGCUCCAGGGCACUGGCUUCCUUCUCCAACAUUACCCAAGGAGUGGCUGUGCUUUUGUCAAGGUUUACAUGAAAAAAAAAAAGAUAAAAAUCAUCAUGGAUGAAUAAAUGAAAAUACAUAGGCAGGCAGUGGCCAGACCUUCUUGACCUUCCCAUCUUCAGUAUCUUGAAGCAGCUCUGCCAUAACUGUAAUCUAUAGCAUCUGUUGAUUUAGAAUGUUCAAUCAAUUAUUCACAACGGAGCCCUGCUCUACAAAGGCGACCACAGAGCAAGGCCCUGCCCUCAGGGACUUUAUGUUCUGAAUGGGGGAUGCAGACAGGUGAACAGGUAACGAAUUGCACGUGGAAUGUCACCUGAGGUCCAUUGCUAGGGCAGGGACUGGGUAAUUAUGGCUCCCAAGAGGUCAGAGGUUUUCCUGGAAGAAGUGACGUAGGAGCCUUGGAUGGGUGAGGUAGGUGAGGAGUGGGGGAAGACAAGCUGAAUUUUCUGGAUAGAGAGGCAGCAUAUAUAGGUGAAGGCCCGGAAAGAGAGCAGAGAAGCAGAGAGUGUGAACAGUCCCCGCCUGAUACCGGCUCAGGACAACUGGGCCCCAGAACUGGAACUAGACCCUGAAUGGCCUGUGGGGAUGAAUGAGCCAUCAGUCUGUGGGGCACUGAGAAAACGUCUUGGGAUUUCAUUGGUGGGUUGCUGUUUACACUGAGUGCAAAGGUUCUGAUUUAGGCCCAGAGUGGGGAUUAACCUAACAGCCGUGUUGGGGCAGCUUGCUGGGGUGAUGAUUGGAUUCUGUUUGGAGUUGGCUCUGGUGGCAGGUCCUGGUUCCCAGAUUUUAAACUUCCUCCCACCUGUUGAGCUGAGAGUCCGGACGAACUCGUUCAGAUGGAGGAAGAGGCUUGUUGGAUGCUUCCCCAUAUCAAAGAACAUUCUUGGAACCAAAGUGACAGCUCUAUUGCAAUGUGGCUUGGAGAAAGAACGUGUCUAAAAUGAUCAUGGAAAUGCUCAGAUAUGAUUUUUGAGUCGAUGGUGCUGGCCUGGCACGUAGGCCUGGACCCAGGAUUGUGUGAACUUUGGCAAGUCAGUUGGCUUUUGGCAUCUACUUCUUUAUAGUUUGAAAAUGGGGCUAGUUGCUGCCUCUAGAAACUUCGGGUAUAGAAAUGAGGUGCUGUCUGUGAAAAUACUGGGCUCCUGGAGAAAACGUUCAAACAUCCAGGAUGUUAACAGCCUUUAGUUUUGGGGGUGUAAUUGUCCACACUGGGCCUGCAAGUGUCUCUGAGUUUGUGUAUUUAAUGGUCAACCAUUCAGCCUAAUGUCCAUAUCCAGCUUAUUUCCAUAAAAAUACUUUCUACUUGCCUUUAGAUAGACUGUCUUAUGUUUUAUUUAGAUGGAGAAUAGUAUGUCCAGAAACUUCACGUUAAUAAAAUGCCCCUAAUAGAAAGAGAAUGAGCCCAAUCCAACCUUCUCUUUUUCAAAGUUUUUUUUUUUUUUAGGGGGUGGUGCAUGGGUGUGUACCAGGGAUUGAACUCGGGAGCACUCGAUCACUGUGCCACACCCCCAGCCCUAUUUUGUAUUUUAUUCAGAGACAGGGUCUCACUGAGUUGCUUAGCGCCUCAUGGUUGCUGAGGCUGGCUUUGAACUCACGAUCCUCCUGCCUCAGCCUCCCGAGCCGCUGGGAUUACAGGCGUGCACCACCGCACCCGGCUCAAGUUAAUUUUUAAUGCACUGGGAAAAGCUGUGAACUUGAAGCUAAAAAGUUUAUGCUUCGUGGGAGAAGUGUCUACUGCCUCAAACACUCUUUGAGUCCCUCAGCUUCCAUUUUGAAGAGCGUUUUCUGGAAAGGAUUGAGGGUCACUUCUUCGUCAGGCAGACCCCCCUUUCAAGAGCUCAGGUCUUGUUCACACUUGAAGACAGAGUACCCUCCUCCAUCCUGAAGGGCUAUAGCUGACCUGCAUUGCCCCCUCUUCUCCUGGAGGUCAGACUGAAGUCACCUGCAGGGGAGACCUUUGACUUUUCUGUUUGGGAUGUUCUCUUUCUCAGACUGAUUUAUACAUCAUUUUCUUUGAAGACAGGAAAGAAAUUCUCAAUCAUAUAGAUUGUCUUUUCACAGGGAAAAGCACCUGAUUUUUACAUGGCUGAUUUCAUUUUCCUUUUAUUUUUGUGGUAAUAGGGAUUGAAUCCCCGGGUGCUUUCCCACUGAGCUACAUGCCCAGCCCUUUUUAUUUUUUAUUUUGAGACAGGGGCUCACUAAGUCGCUGAGACUGGCGUUGCACCUGUGAUCCUCCUGCUCUGAUUACUCGGAUUCUAGGUGUGUUCCACAGUGCUUGGCUUCUCUCCUGUUUUGAAUGGAAGAGAAGGUAGAGAAAUGAACUUCCACCUUCAAAGUCAUCUAUACUUGAUGCAAGAGAGAGAGGGAAGCUACGAAUUCUAUGCAACUGAUGCCAAGUGCAAAUUGUAGUUCAUGACUGACAGAAGAGCUAGCCUCAACUGUUUUUUUUUUUCUUUUUUAAUUAUGAAGUCAAUGUGAAGAGUCUUAAAGGGAAGCUAAGUGCCUUUAACCAAUUUCUGGGUGAAAUAGUAAAAAAUAAUCUCCUGUAGAAAGACAGUUAAUUUGUGUCCAAACUAUUUAUAUUUGUAGAACAUAUAUAAAUAUUUUAUGUUAGGUUGAUAGAUUUGGGUCAAAGAGCACUAAACGUUUACAUUUUGGUAGAAAUUGUCCCUAAAAAGUCGCUAAAUUGCAGUUUUUCUUUUCCCACAUGCUGGUCUACAAUUAAUAUUAUUAUUAAUCUUUUACAUUUUUACCAAUUUAAUGGAGGAAAGAUGACAUCUCACUUUAAUUUUUCCUGAUGACUAACGAGGUUGAACAUCUUUUUUUGUGUAUUUCUCAGCCAAACACGUUUCUUCCCUGAAAUGUAUAUAUUUAUUCUUUGUAUUUUAAAAGGGUUCUUGUUUAAUCUUUAAUACAUCAUGCACUGUAGUCAAUCAUUACCUAAUUUUGUUUUUAGCAGACACUCGAUUCCUGUUGACAGUACAUUAGAAAUAACCAGUGGAUGGAAGAGAAUUCAGUAACCUGGAGAGACGGCAGCAUUCUGAAGCAGAGGGGAGGUCAGGGAGAUAAUUUUGUCCCAAUGUUUUGUUUUACAGAAGAGCAAACCAAGGUAUUGAGAGGUAAGAGAUGUCUCAUACCUGGCUAGUAGCAGUUUUGAUAAUGGAUUCUGGUUCAAGUACUUUUAUCCUGCCUGCUGCCCCUCAUGUAAUAGUGUGCAUAAAGAGUAUCCUUGUUUAUUCUUUUCUGGGUGCAGUGUCUUCAAGUAAAUCUUCUUAACAUAGCAGCAAGUAAAUGCAAAUCUGUCUAUAAGGAGGAGAGAACGCGUUUUCUUAGCCACACAGGAUUGGCCCUGGUGAGCUGGUACCAGGCAGAAAGCAAAGUACAGUCUCUCUCUCUCUCUCUCUUUUUUUUUUUUGGUAAUGGGAAUUGAACUGGUGUGUGUGUGUGUGUGUUGGGGGGUUUAACCACUGAGCCAUAUUCUUUUAUAUUCUAUUUUGAGACAGGCUUAGGGCCUUGCUAAGUUACUGAGGCUGGCUUUGAACUUGGGAUCUUCCUGCCUCAGGCUCCUGAGCUGCUGGGAUUAUAGGCGUGUGCCACCACCCCGGCUAAGUAUGGUUUCUUAAACAUGUCAAGUGGGUGAUAAUGAGUUUCUCCAAAAAAGGGGGUGUCACAUGCUGAUGAAGUAGGGGGUUAUUAUGAAAAAUGGGGAGGUGUCUGCUAAAUGGCCCACUGGUAAUACAUGAAGCUUCUGGUAGCUGUGUAUCUUCUGUUGUCUCCAAUCCUUUUGAAUCUGUGGCAAAGUAUCAGCAGAAACCAUCUAUUUCAGAAACCUCUGUCCUAUGAUACUUAAAAACAAACAAACAAAAAACCCCACAUAAUCCAGGGAUGUGCUUUCAGAGACGGAAGCCUUAUGAACAGUCGACCUCACCUGAGCGUUCAGGAAACCUUCCAGGUAGGAGAGCUGAGCCUGGUGAUAAGACAGUUUCCUCAGUGCUGGGAAACGGAGCUGGGCUUGUCAAGGACAGAGUGACGUUGGAUCAUGUGCUACAGCUUGGAAUUAGAGGUGGAUGAGCUGUCUUGUCCUCAUGCCAUCUUACAAGGAAGGGAGGCAAGAUGGGCAAGAUCAGCAAUGUUCCUGGGCCUGUUAGCCAUACUGACCAGGGUAGCCUAGGGCAGAGCUUCCCGAACACAGUGAGUGGAUGGGAAUUUGGAAAAGUAAAAGAGAGUUAUUAUGGAACUAUGUGUCUGCAAUACCCGGGCCAGAGGUUUCUCUGAAUUGUCAGCAGUUUUCAGAUCUAUGGUCUCCCUUCCCCAAAGCAUGUGGGCCCCACAACUGUUCUAGAGCUCUAUUGGGAUUGCACAGUCAUCCCUUUUCUGAGAACUCAGGAGUUUCCUGGAACAUGGGACCUCUAGAGUGAGAACUAGGAUGGUCCAGGAAAAACCAGGAUGAUUAGUCAUCUUGUGUGAAUAAUCAAUCCCAUUAGAUUCUUGUGUGUGUGUGUGUGUGUGUGUGUGUGAGAUGCUGGGUAUCGAACCCAGAUCUCAUGCAUGUAAUCAGAAAUCAACAAUCAGACAUAAAUGCCAGAGCUAAAAACCCAACAGGUGUGAAUGAGCAAGUGGGACACUUACCUUUGAAGUAAAAGAUAAACAUUGUAGUUCAUGCACCAUAAAGAUUCCGCCCCCACCCUGAGAUAAAUACAGACUCACACCUAACUGAACUGCCCUUCAUCUUCUCCGGGCAGCCGUGCUGAAACAGAUCUUCUAACCCACACGACAGGCUGAGCCUUUUUGGUGGAGGAUCAUUGCGCUGUACCUUGGUUAAUGUCCUCUCUUCUGACUGCACGUUAGACCCAGCUGGAAAGUUUAAAGAACACAAAGGUAGACCACCAGGAUCCACUCUUGAUCAAGUAAAUCAGAUUCCCGAGUAAAGCAAAAUUCCCUGGUAGGCAAUUCUUAAAAAGCUCUGGAACUGAUUAGUCUGUAGACUGGUUGAGAAACAUGGGUCCAGGCAAAGAAGAGAUCCCAGAAAUCAAUGCUGGAUCAAGCGGGUGGCCGCGAAUCCUGGCUUGCACCUGUUGUCCUGACAUUUUUUAAUAGCACAUUUUUUUUUAUUCUUAAAAUUCCCCAUAUUGGAACGAUAAAUGCUAUGAUUACACAACAUGGAAAACUGUUAGAAUUUUUUUUUUCUUAAUUGAAAAGACAAAAGUGAGGUGUAGCUUAAAAAGCAGAGAUCUUAAGUGUAUUGAUGAAGUGUAACAUAUGUGUGCAUCUAUGUAGCUACAAGCUAGAAUAACAUUUUUAGUACUUUCCAGAACAUUUGUUUCUCUUUCUGGUUAGUAGCCUUUUCUUUACCCCAAACAAGUAAUUUUGACUCCCUCUGAGUAGAUUCAGAAAAUAUAUACUGUUGGGUGUCUGAUUUCUAUCUCUCAAAAUCAUGUUUGUGAAAUUCAGUUACGGCACAGUGUGUAUCUGAAGUUUGAUAUUUUAUACAGAUAUAUAGUAUUCCAUUAUAUGAUUAUACUAUAACUUAUUUACCAAUUUGCUGGUUGUGGAUGGACAUUUGAGUGUUUCCAUUUUUUGGCAAAUGGGAAUAAAGCAGCUAUCUACAUCCUUGUACCUGUCUUGGGACACAGGUGCAUGAGCUUUUCUUAAUGUCUCCAGCCCUGAGAAACCAGUAGUAGCUCAUGGGUUAUCUAGAUCCACACUUGGGCAUGUUGCCUGGAUGCCCUCAAGCUCUGGUGUAUCAGUGGGAGUGGGAAGAUCUGCUUUUGGCUCGAGGCAAGGGAGAUGAUCAGCAUUCCUUUCAGAGAUCAUUGGAGGGUCUAAGGGUGACAGAGAGAUUACAGGUGGGGUGUGGGGUGGAUUCCAGUCAGAUUAGCAACGGGGGAGGGAGCAUCCUGGAGGAGUUUAAGGUGACACUUCAGAGUCAUCCAUGGGUGCAUUUUUAACCCUUUGGGUGGGAAAAUGCAUGUACACACAUGCGCUUACACACACACACACACACACACACACACUCUCACACUCUCACACACGAUAUAGUAGAACAAAUGACAUAAUAAACCUACACGUUCCCAUCACAGUUUCAAUAAUUACCAAAUUUGGCCAGUCUUUUUUUUUUUUUUUAAAUCUGCAUCACUGUCUGCUUCUCCCCUACCCCUGGUUAUUUCUGGUGGUCUUUAAUUUCCUAAUUUCAGUAAAAUGAACAGUGAGGGGAGUGGGGAAAGGGGUCAUUUCAGGAGGGGAAAGUCCCUGUGAGUUCCCACUUUCAUGACAUGGAAAUUUGGGGGUCUCAAGACCACAUGCUUUGUCAUCUCUUCUGUCCCAUAACGGUGAACUACUUUUCCCCUUUCUUUCUGAUUUCUUUUUAAAUCCCAGGCCCGGCUUUGUGGUCUGUAUUGCUCUAGACUUUGGGCUCCCCAGGGUCAGGGGCUGAGUCAUGGACGUGUUCGUCUCCAAGUCCUAGCAUGGGGGUAGGCAUUGAUAAAAUAUUUGUGGAGCGAACGUUGGGAGGGUAAGUCGUGGGCAACCAGUCAUUUCCAAGUCUGGCUUCUAGAAUUUCAGAGCACCUUCAGGCUACAGGGGUGAGUGUGUGAGGCUCCAACCCAGGGCGGGACUGUCCCCACGGCUUCCUCCAGGGUCAGCAAGGACUCAGGGCAGUGACUUCCUGGUUCCUUGUUCAGCUCUGGGGUCCAGCCCACCAGGCUUUCUUCCAUGUUUCCUGUUCUCUGGUUCUGCCUGCCUUCUGCUUCAAGUCUAGGCAGAAUUUCUAAAAGAAAACCAUCCCUUCGGGUCCCCAGUCCCAGGACAGGUGUUUCCCAGCUGGGACGGAAUCCACCCUUUCUUCUUUCUCGGGCUUAUUUGGACUCUCCUUUGAUCUCUUGCUGCGUGGGUGCUGGAGACUUCCUUCAAGAAUCCUCCUUUGUUUACCCAACAGUCAGGAACUUUUCAGAAGAAACCGCCAUUUGCCAGAGUUCUGCAGCCGGCAUUGAGCAUCGCUGGUCCAAGCCGGGUGGCGCACCUGCCCGAGAGGGGCUUUUUUAUCUUUGAGAAAAUAGAUGUCCCACUGUUGAGGACACGGAGGCUGUAAGAGGGACCUUUUGCUUGUGGAAUUGGCAAAGAAAGCAGGGCAGGAUGAUGAUUGGUUGAGGCCAUCCAUUGGCAUUUUCUCAGUUAGGUGGAGAGUCUGUACAUUUGUCAGGUUAAAAAUCUUUGUCGGUGAGUAUGGAAAGCAGUCCUGGGAGGCGACACCGGGUGAUGGCUGGAGCAUUGGGUCAGCGACCUGACACCUGCUGCCCAUCUAACCAGCUUUCCUCAGCCCACACACCAGUGGGGAUGGCGCCUGGGGCUCGGAUCCAAGCACAACGCCUGCCCCUUUGCCUUCCAGCUGCCUUCUCGGGGCCUAAAGAAGACUUUGUUACCUUUGAAAAGAAGGGUGAGGAGGAUGGGAACCUGGGGAGGCAGAGGGCUCCUGGAGAUGCCAUCAUGGGAAAUCGCAUAAGGACCAGGGGAAAGGGCAGUGGUUAGAGCCACCUGUGGCUGGCUUUCAGUGGUCCCAAGUGGAUCAGACUUUCUGUUCCUUCCGAGGGAUGUCGUCCCCCAUCCCCUCAUGAAAGCCCCAGAGGCAAUAGCAGACUCAGUGCAGAGAGAUGAGGAAGUUGAUAAUACAGGACAGGGGUUCUCAAACCCAAGUGCCUCAGGAAACCUGGGAGCAGGGGUUAAACCCAGAGUGCUAGGCCCCUCCCCCAGGAGUUCUGAUUCCUAAGGUCUGGGCGGGGCAUGGGAAUUUGCAUCUCUAAUAAAUUCCCAGGUGAUGCUCCUGCUGCUGCUGGUCCGGGAUCUCACUUUGAGAACUGGGGAUUUAGUACCUGACCACAGACCCCCUGAAGGAAAAUGGGGUCAGCAGGAGUCAGAGAGGGCUGUUGAUCCAAGUGCCUUUUAUACAUGGAUGAAGUCCAGGAGGUGGAGUGUAACAGAAGGUGACAGUUUGACGGACCCAAGAUGGCCCAUGUUGGAAGGCUUUACCCCAUCCCCGGGUUCUCCUCUGGAAUCCACGGGGUAGAAACUGGGUCAGGGUGAUGAUCCUGAGGAAACCCGACUCUUCUGGGGCAAAGUCUAUCUUCUGCAGAGAUGAAGGAAAAGAGGGAUGUAGUGAGGAGCAAGGCUGGGGACCUUGUCCUGAUGGAGCAGGGACAACGCCAGGAGAGUGGAAAGACCAUGAGCUGACCUGGUGGGCUCGAGGUGCAGGACAGGAGCCCUGAGAUUGCAGAGGUGGACAUUGAGGGUGGAAAGGACAUGCACGGAGUGGAGCGUGAGCACUGCAUGGGGCACGGGGCGCUGGCGGGUGGUAGCCACAGGUCACACAGCUGUUUUCAAACACCAUGACCUUGUCUGAUCUUCCCCGCAUCCCUGUGGGUAUGUGGAGCAGGUACGAUCACUUCCAACUUCUGGGUGAGGAGAUUCACCACCGAGAACACUGGGCAACUUGCCUCAAGAGGCUGGGACAGCUUCGGAGCCCAUGUCCUGCAUUUGGAGGCCCAUGCUGGUUCUGGGCAUUGGAGAGGGUACAACUGCCAUGCUCGGUGUGUGCUCAGUGGACACCGCAUGGUGGGGUGGCUGAAUUGUGGCUCAGGAUGGAACCUGGGCCUGGAGAGGACCCUCGAUGUUUUAGCUAGUGGAGAGCAGAGACCAAGGCAGGUGGCCAAGGUGACAGGAGGAAGGGAGGCAGGAAGCCUGGGGGGUGGGGUCCUCAUCUGGGGUUUAGCGUCACUCUCCCCUUGACAGUGCACCAGGUGCCCCCUGUGCCCUGACUGCCUGGGCCUCUGCCUUCUCUCUGCGGUGGCUCCCUCUCUGCCUGCCUUCCCUAGUUUCCCGCCACACCAUGGAUUCUGCUUACUGCCAUUACUUGUGUUCUAUUUUUUUUUUUUUUUUGGUAUAGGGGGAUUGAACUCAGGGGUACUCAACCACUGAGCCACAUCCCUGGCUCUAUUUUGUAUUUAUUUCUUUAUUUUUUUUAGAGAUAGGGUCUCACUGAGUUGCUUAGCGCCUGGCUUUUGCUGAGGCUGGCUCUGAACUCGCGAUUUUCCUGCCUCAGCCUCCUGAGCCACUUGUGUCCAUUCUAGUUCCCGUGGUCUGUUCUGCUGCUUCUCUGUGUACCAUCUGUGGAUUCUCUCUGUGUAUAUUUAAAGUCUUUAAGAAUAAGGACCUAGUUUGAAGAUGAGCAUGGUGGAGUGGAGUCUCAACCCACCUCUUGGUUGGUCUAUAGGAGGCUGCUUUGGGGUAAUGUCUGGUACCUGGUCCGGUCAGCCAAGGCCAAGGUGGAAAGCGACACAGGGCAGAGCAGGUGUCCAGAGCUGCCUGUGGAUUUGUCCAGGCCAUGGUGGGCCCUCAGAAGUGCUAUAAAAGCAUGUGCUGUUAUAAAAGCCAGGCAGAGCCUUUGCCCUAGAGGGGAUCCCAAAGACUAGGAUGCUCCAUAGAUUUCUAGAGAUUUCCAAAUAAGAGGAAGGAGAUGAGAUUUUCUUUUCUGGGACUGAAAUGUAGGGUGAGAUGUAGGGGUGGAGCCACAACAAGUCUGUAACUGGGUGGAUUAGCAGGAGGAGGAGGCAGGAGGGAGUUGGUGCCAAGUGUCAGAGGGUUGGGCUGACGGUCCAUAAGUCCUUCCUGCCUGAGGCUGGUCCUGCCUCUGAUCCUGGACACUGAAAUUGGGCUCACAGAGAAGGCUCUGCAGGAUUCAGCUGUGAGAGUAGGAUGGCUGUGGACAGCAACGGGCUGACCCAGGCCACAGUGGACCAGAGCGGAUGGACCCCGAGGCGGAAAAACAGCAGAACACCAUGUUUGCCCAGGAAAAGGGUGUUUAUACGUAACACAUGCUGUUGGGACCUGUUUUCAAGUGAAGAGAAUUCCACUCCUACUUGUAAAUUCCUGAGUGCCAGUAAAAGCACCUAAUCUGUGACCAUACUCCCAAAGCCACUCCUAAGGAGAUUUAUACCUGGGGUUUAACUAGGUGACAUGGUCAGAAGCCUCCGUGACUGCAAUUUCAUGUAAGAAGAGGGGACGACUGGUGGGUGCCCUGAGAAAAUUCCAGCAGAGGCUGAAGGAUGGCAGACCCGUCCUCCUGCUGAGGGGUCUGAGCACUGACGGGGGUGGGGCAAGGGCUGGACCAUACGGUCCUCGACCCACUGGUGACUGACCGUCCUCCCAACCUGACACUGUGGUUGAGCAGGUCCCUGAUCCUGCCCUGUCUGGCCUACUGUUCACAAGGCUGCCCCGUCCUCUCCUGCCAGGAUCAGGAGGGACCUUGAAAAGACGGUCCUGCUCAACCCUCUGCUAUUCCAUAGGUAAAUGACAAGUCAAUCAAGAUGUGUAAUUGUCUGAAUGAAACCUGGAUCCGUAGGUUGGGGCUAUGGCGUUUAUUUGCAUGUGGAGAUCCAGUCUUCCCAGCACCGUUUAUUGAAGAGGCCAUCUUUCCCCCAUGGUGUGUUCGUGGUGCCAUUGUCAAUGUUCAGUUGAACACACGUGCACAGGUUGGUCCAUGUGUCCUGUCUGGUUGUUUGACUAUUUUGAUUACUAUAGUUUUGUCAGAUAGUAAAAAAACCAGGAUGUAUGAUGCCUCUUGUUAUUUCUCAAGAUCGCUUUGGUGAUUUGGGGUGUCUCAUGGCUCCAUAGUACAUGGUUGCCGCAGUCUGGCUGGGCACAAAUCACGAGCCACUGAAGCAGGAACAAACUUUAUUUUUAAACUGCAGGAAAACACUUCACACAGCUCCCGGGGAAUCCUCCCGAACGCGCCAGGAGGCUUGUCCAGGAAGCCCCAGCCGGAAAUAUCUCUCCCGGAAAUCCCUCCUCCUGCACUUCCCCAAACAAUGGGAACUCUCGGGGAAUCCCCGGAAAUCCCCACGAGAACUCCAAAAUAGUGCGAGAACUCAAAAGUUGCGGCAGAGGCGGAUAGUAAUGCCUCGCCUGUCAAUCAAUACUGUUGGCAAAAUGCCAGGGGCCAUACAGACUCGGCCGUGGCUCUCAGCAUCUCCCCCUUUUUGUUUAAUUAAACAACAAGCAAUGUGGCUUAGGGACCGUGCCUGUUAGGCAGUCCAAUUCAACAUAUGGUCCUUACCCGUCAUCGGAUGAACUGACCUCUAGGCGUCAGCCUCCUGUCUUAGGUUGGUACCACUGCAAUUGGAUCAUACCCGUCACUGACUACCGGUCCAGCAUACAGCCAUACUUGUGGAUAGGCCUUUGCACCAGUGGGGGGGUGAGGUUCUUUGCCUCACCUCUGUUGGCCCCCAAAUUUUAGACCAUCACUAGUAGAAGGGAGGAGGAUGCAAAAUGCCAUGACACUAAGCCAAUUGAGGGCUCCUUUGAAAAAUUGUACCACCGGUGACACCAUCAGCAAAAAUACUCCAGCACUACCACAAUUCGCCGUACCAACAGAUAGUUCACAAUGCAUACAAGUGAUACAUAGUCCAGGCAAGGUCUGCAAGCAAUUCAAAGCAGAGGAAUCUGUCAAUAUGUCCAUUUCCUCCCAAAGUAAAUCAACUCCUUAAUUGAGCAUUACUUGUUGAGUUAUUAUUCAUUGAUGCAUCAGUUUUUACAGUUUGUUGUGAUAACUAUCGAAGAAGCUGUAGUUUGGUUUUAUCUUUGUCUUCACCGGCACUGGGAUGAAGAUAGGAAUUCUGGCAAUGAUGCUAAGAAAAAAAUUAUGUAACAUUCCAACAGGCACUAAGAAAACAAUUUUUUGAACAAUUUACAUUAUCCUGAACAGAAUUAUUAAAUAUAAUGAGAAGGAAAGGUGAAAGUAAACAAACAGAUCUGUUAACCUCCUUAUUUGUUCACAUAUUAAAACAAUUUUCAACAGCUGUUUACCCAAUCUAAAUUAAACCAUUAAAAUCACGUGAAUAAAAAAAUUCGGAUCCAUUUAUUCAUGAGCGCUCCUCAUAUAUGAUAUAUGGACAUACGCACAUACAGACAUACAACACAAAACAGAAGUGUGCACACAUAACAUACAACACAUAAGACAAUAGUAAAGGCCUUGUAGCUUUACCUAGGUGAAAUCUCCAUUGCAAUGCUUAAAAACUCCACAGUCAAAAAAUAAAACUGAUCAGAAAAACAUUAACCUAGGUCUGUAUGAGCUCAAAAAACAAAAUAGAACUUCAUGAUAUGGCAAAGGGCAAUAAUAAAAUAGAUAUUGAAAAAAGCAUCCUGGUUCUGUUGCAGAUGUAAGAAUAGCCAAACUGGAGUUUUGGAUAUCAGUUGUUAUGGAUUUGAGCCAAAUCAUCUUCUUUUUGGUCUGUAGAAAUCGC